UCUCCACUCCAGCAGAACUGAGUUGUUCACCCAAAAGCCUCUACUCCAGCAGGGCUGAGUAAACAGGCUUAUAUUUUUUAACCUGACAACUGGCCCCACCUGUCAUUCUCUUCCCCUCUCCUGCCCAUCCGAGCCGAGCGCGCGUGCCCUGCCCCCGCGCCGCCGAAGCGCACGCCACCGCCACCGUCCGGCGCCGCCGCCCGCUCGGCGUCCACCCGCCGCCUCGACCCCGCACGGCCCGCCUCCCCUGCUGGCGCCACCUCUCCUGCCCGGCGCCACCUCCCUACCUUCCCCGGCCGCCACCACCUACCUCCUCCGCCGUUUCCAGCCGCCGGCGCCGACCCGCCCCACGGACGCCUCCCCGCCGGGCGUCCUCCGCAAGGUCCGUUCUUAAGCAGUGGUACCGUAGCGUUCGCGUAGGAGGCUGCGCCCUCUGUCCGUCCUCCCCGCCGAAGCUGUCCUGGGUCCAUCCGGUUGGUGGCUGGACUCAAGGGUACAAGGGACUCUGAGUGAUGCUAACAGGUUGUUAUAUUAUCCUACUUGCAAUCUGAAUAUAGCUGAUCUUUAAAUCAUAUACUGUAAAAGUUUCAGGGAAGUCAAACAUCUAGAAGCCAAAGAUGUACGAGUAAUCCUGAAUAUUGCUAACUGUUGUAAGCAGGUCACUACAUUUGCUUGUUCGUUAGCAAAGCAUAGGAAGUCAAACACCCUAGAAGCCAAAGAUGUACUCUCUCAUGCAGGUGAUCCCAUUUUGUUUUAUGUACUCCCUCAUGCAGGUGAUCCCAUUUUGUUUUAUCUUCUAGACUAUAUGUGAUGUCCUUUCGGGUAACAUUUUAAAUGUCGUUCUGCAUAACUUAAGAGUUCUCCAUUGCAGAAAGAAGCUGGAAUAUCACCUUGCCAGGCCUCAGCGGGGAUGAAAUCAAGAAAUUUUGGUUUGGUUUUCUGUCAUUCUGCAUGAUCAUGAGCAGAAAUUUUGCAGAUCAAGAAUGCUGUCAUUGCAACCAAGAAAGAUCGUGGUUCCAGGUGGUUAAAAUAGAUAGGAAUAGAUAACCUGGGUGUUCCCAGAAUUCAGUGUAUGUAACCUGGGGUCUUUUUUACCUCAUCUGGGUGACAAUAGGCACCACCAAUCUUCUUGUGUUGUACUCUCAGCUUUUGAGAAUGUAACCUGAGGUCUUUUUGACCUCAUCACUGUACACUGUUCUUGAUCUGUAUAGUAUAUAUGGAUUUAUUAUCAAAAAUGAAAAACUCCCUACAUGUCAUCAGUGGAA